UACGGAGGGUGCAAGCGUUAAUCGGAUUUAUUGGGCGUAAAGGGCGCGUAGGCGGGGUAGUAAGUUAGAUGUGAAAUCCCGGAGCUCAACUCCGGUCCCGCAUCUAAAACUGCUGUCCUAGAGGAUGGACGGAGAAAAGGGAAUUCCACGUGUAGCGGUGAAAUGCGUAGAUAUGUGGAAGAACACCAGUGGCGAAGGCGCUUUUCUAGUUUAGACCUGACGCUGAGGCGCGAAAGCAAGGGGAGCAAACAGG
rnacentral:rRNA from 1 species